rnacentral:rRNA from 1 species
AUUGAACGCUGGCGGCAGGCCUAACACAUGCAAGUCGAGCGGAUGACGGGAGCUUGCUCCUUGAUUCAGCGGCGGACGGGUGAGUAAUGCCUAGGAAUCUGCCUGGUAGUGGGGGACAACGUUUCGAAAGGAACGCUAAUACCGCAUACGUCCUACGGGAGAAAGCAGGGGACCUUCGGGCCUUGCGCUAUCAGAUGAGCCUAGGUCGGAUUAGCUAGUUGGUGAGGUAAUGGCUCACCAAGGCGACGAUCCGUAACUGGUCUGAGAGGAUGAUCAGUCACACUGGAACUGGGACACGGUCCAGACUCCUACGGGAGGCAGCAGUGGGGAAUAUUGGACAAUGGGCGAAAGCCUGAUCCAGCCAUGCCGCGUGUGUGAAGAAGGUCUUCGGAUUGUAAAGCACUUUAAGUUGGGAGGAAGGGCAGUAAGUUAAUACCUUGCUGUUUUGACGUUACCGACAGAAUAAGCACCGGCUAACUCUGUGCCAGCCGCCGCUGUAAUAC